rnacentral:rRNA from 1 species
AUGCACGCUGGCGGCGUGCCUAAUACAUGCAAGUCGAGCGAACAGACGAGGAGCUUGCUCCUCUGACGUUAGCGGCGGACGGGUGAGUAACACGUGGAUAACCUACCUAUAAGACUGGGAUAACUUCGGGAAACCGGAGCUAAUACCGGAUAAUAUAUUGAACCGCAUGGUUCAAUAGUGAAAGACGGUUUUGCUGUCACUUAUAGAUGGAUCCGCGCCGCAUUAGCUAGUUGGUAAGGUAACGGCUUACCAAGGCGACGAUGCGUAGCCGACCUGAGAGGGUGAUCGGCCACACUGGAACUGAGACACGGUCCAGACUCCUACGGGAGGCAGCAGUAGGGAAUCUUCCGCAAUGGGCGAAAGCCUGACGGAGCAACGCCGCGUGAGUGAUGAAGGUCUUCGGAUCGUAAAACUCUGUUAUUAGGGAAGAACAAAUGUGUAAGUAACUAUGCACGUCUUGACGGUACCUAACCAGAAAGCCACGGCUAACUACGUG